UACGUAGGGGACAAGCGUUGUCCGGAUUUACUGGGCGUAAAGGGCACGCAGGCGGUUUUUUAAGUCAGAUGUGAAAGGUACCGGCUCAACCGGUGACAUGCAUUUGAAACUUAUUGGCUUGAGUGCAGGAGAGGAGAGUGGAAUUCCUAGUGUAGCGGUGAAAUGCGUAGAUAUUAGGAGGAACACCGGUGGCGAAGGCGGCUUGCUGGACAAAUACUGACGCUGAGGUGCGAAAGCGUGGGGAG
rnacentral:rRNA from 1 species